rnacentral:lncRNA from 1 species
GUGAACUUCAAAUUUCUGCCAGAUUGGACUGUAUAUGAGAUGAUUACUUCCUUGAAAUCACCUUUUGUACUAAAAUACAUUCUCACCUCCCAUUUGUAUUUGGACAUGUCUUUUUGUAACUUGAACAUUGGGUACUUCUUUCUCCUAACUUCAUUGCUAUCAUCACUCUCACACCCACUUUCUAGAUCCUCACUUUCACUAUCAC